ensembl:lncRNA
AUUCAAUAAGUGAACUGAACAAGGAGCUGGUUUUGGAGAAUACGACAAAAUGGCUGUGGUUGCACUCUACCAAUCGGGGCGUUUAAAAAACGAAACUAUCUGAAGGGUUUGCAGAGGGAAAACAUCAUCACACAACCGGUCCUGGUGGCUUGCCGGUUAUAAACCGCUGAACGGUCGGUUCUCCGGGAGAGGCUGAAGCGAUCAGCGCCUUUUUUUUCUCAAUGCACAACAACGCCUCUACUAGCGGUGUGCAGUGAAUGAGAAUGUCGUCAGUCCUCAUCAUGGCCUGUGUUGGUUUCUGUAUGACUGCUCCCUCUCCCUCCACCCGAAGACCAUCAGCAGUUGUCAACGUGGUGUGGCAUUCAUUACCUGGCUGCAGGCCUGGCUGGCUCCAUAACAGCCCGGGAGCGUUCCACGUCACAGUCCGCCCCCCCUCUGCACCCCCAAACCUAGGCAGAGAAGGCCUGAAGGCUGGCAGACCGCUGGGCCUGGAGUCCAGCAUAUAGGCCCUACAAAC